rnacentral:rRNA from 1 species
AACGAACGCUGGCGGCAGGCCUAACACAUGCAAGUCGAACGCCGUAGCAAUACGGAGUGGCAGACGGGUGAGUAACGCGUGGGAACCUUCCCUAUGGUUCGGAAUAGCUCAGGGAAACCUGGGGUAAUACCGGAUAAGCCCUUCGGGGGAAAGAUUUAUCGCCAUUGGAUGGGCCCGCGUCGGAUUAGCUAGUUGGUGAGGUAACGGCUCACCAAGGCGACGAUCCGUAGCUGGUCUGAGAGGAUGAUCAGCCACACUGGGACUGAGACACGGCCCAGACUCCUACGGGAGGCAGCAGUGGGGAAUAUUGGACAAUGGGCGAAAGCCUGAUCCAGCCAUGCCGCGUGAGUGACGAAGGCCUUAGGGUUGUAAAGCCCUUUUGGCGGGGAAGAUAAUGACGGUACCCGCAGAAUAAGCUCCGGCUAACUUCGUGCCAGCCGCCGCGGUAAGAC